CGCUGGCGGCGUGCUUAACACAUGCAAGCCGAACGGUAAGGCCCUUCGGGGUACACGAGUGGCGAACGGGUGAGUAACACGUGGGUGAUCUGCCCUGCACUUCGGGAUAAGCUUGGGAAACUGGGUCUAAUACCGGAUAGGACCACGGUCUGCAUGGAUUGUGGUGGAAAGCUUUUGCGGUGUGGGAUGGGCCCGCGGCCUAUCAGCUUGUUGGUGGGGUGAUGGCCUACCAAGGCGACGACGGGUAGCCGGCCUGAGAGGGUGUCCGGCCACACUGGGACUGAGAUACGGCCCAGACUCCUACGGGAGGCAGCAGUGGGGAAUAUUGCACAAUGGGCGCAAGCCUGAUGCAGCGACGCCGCGUGGGGGAUGACGGCCUUCGGGUUGUAAACCUCUUUCAGCAGGGACGAAGGGUGACUGACGGUACCUGUAGAAGAAGCACCGGCCAACUACGUG
rnacentral:rRNA from 1 species